UCGCGAUGAAGCUCGUCCGGGGUGGAUUCGUUAAAAACUCACCGGAAUCGCGGUUUGCGCGCCCUGUCUGUCGGGUUGCAACCCGCUAAAUUUAAUAGACUGCACUAAGCAUGUAGAUCCCUCGGCAGAGGACUGACGGACGCGGGUUCAAUUCCCGCCGCCUCCACCA
rnacentral:tmRNA from 1 species